UUCCGGUUGAUCCCGCCGGAGGUCAUUGCGGUCGGAGUCCGAUUUAGCCAUGCUAGUCGUGCGAGUUCACACUCGCGGCACCGAGCUCAGUAACACGUGGCCAAACUACCCUACAGAGACGGAUACCCUCGGGAAACUGAGGCUAACCCGUCAUACCGAUCUCAGGCUUGAAUCGCAGAGAUCAUCAAAUGCCCCGGCGCUGUAGGAUGUGGCUGCGGUUGAUUAGGUUGACGGUGGGGUAACGGCCCACCGUGCCCAUAAUCAGUACAGGUUGUGAGAGCAAGAACCUGGAGACGGAAUCUGAGACAAGAUUCCGGGCCCUACGGGGCGCAGCAGGCGCGAAACCUUUACACUGCACGCACGUGCGAUAAGGGGACUCCGAGUGCGAGGGCAUAUCGUCCUCGCUUUCGUGUACCGUAGGGUGGUACACCAACAAGGGCUGGGCAAGACCGGUGCCAGCCGCCGCGGUAAUACCGGCAGCCCAAGUGAUGACCGAUCUUAUUGGGCCUAAAGCGUCCGUAGCUGGCUGCGCAAGUCCGUCGGGAAAUCCACUCGCCCAACGAGUGGGCGUCCGACGGAAACUGCACAGCUUGGGACCGGAAGGCUCGAAGGGUACGUGCGGGGUAGGAGUGAAAUCCUAUAAUCCCGCACGGACCACCGAUGGCGAAAGCACUUCGAGAAAACGGAUCCGACAGUGAGGGACGAAAGCCAGGGUCUCCAACCGGAUUAGAUACCCGGGUAGUCCUGGCCGUAAACAAUGUUCGCUAGGUAUGACACAGACUAC
rnacentral:rRNA from 1 species